rnacentral:lncRNA from 1 species
CAAAGCAAGAACAAAGAAAGAAAAGGAAGAACAAAACCCUAGGUGGAAAAAUUCAAGGAAAAAGUGUGAAAAUUCAAGGAAACAAGUGAAAAAAGGUAAGAUGUUUUCAAUUAAGCUUGAGAUCUCUCUUUCUUAAAGCAUUUUUUCUUAUUUUCCAUGGUUGAAUCACAUGAAAUCAUGAUUAAUCCUUUGCUGGCCAAACAGUUAGAGGGAGGUUUUGAUGCUUGAUUUGGUUAGAUUUCAAUGUAUUUUAGUGUUUUUAGUUAGUUAGUGAUGUAUAGCAUGAAAAUCAAGCAAGAAAAAUUCAUGUUCUUCCAUAACCCAUCAUUGGUCGAAUCUUCCAUGUAGAGUGUGGAUGGUGAAUUUGAUUUUAUUUCAAGUGAAUUAGUUAGGAAAUGAUGAAUUACGGUGAGAAAAUCAAGUAGGAAAAAUCAUAGUAUUGAUGCACCCACCAUGGCCGAAAUUCCCAAGAGAAAAUGUGAAGAUGAUUUUGCUAAAUUUUAUACUAUUUGACUUGUGUUGAUGGUUUGGAGAAUUGGAAGAAAAAUGGAAUUAUUGGAGUUGAAUUGGACAUAUUGGCCAAUUAAUCGAGUGAUAGAUCAAAUUAGGCCAAUACCGUUUUAUUUAGGUACACAAUUGAAUUUGUCUAGAACACAGUGUUUAGACGAUAAUCCGAACAAUUUACAUCCCAUUUCAUGCAUUAGUAUAAAGCCUGAAUUGGUUUUACAACGGUUUAGCACUAAUGUAGUAAAUGGCUUAUUGUGCAUUAUGUCUAGGUGGUGAGCUUUCUGGCAAAAGUAAAGAGAUAGUACCCGAGGAUCAAGAAUCGGAGUACUCGAAAUUCGACUCCCGAAAUUGUGAGUAACCUUACUAUCGUCUUAAUUAUCUAAAGUAGUUUUUAUUUGAUUUUGUGAAUUUUAUGGAAAAUGAGUUUAAACGGUUAAUUUUUAGGUUUUAUAAACAAAAUGUGUUUAAAUGAAAUCAUUUUAUAAAUUGUCUUGAAAUUGAAUGAUGGCUUUGAAAAUAGAGUAAUUGGAGACCAUUUGAUGUAUUGUAAAUUUAUGGUUCUAAUUGAUUGGCUUAUGAUAAUGUUGGCAUGAAUGGUUGAAUUGGUAAAUGUGCUAAAAAUAUAUGAACUGUUGAUUUGCCUUGAGAGGUUGUAAAAUAAAAUAAUUGCCAUGUCAUGCUGUUGAAUUUUAUUGAAUUGGUGGGUUAUAAAUUGGUCGCUGCAGUGGACGGGUUCUGUGGACCAACCUAUUAGAGGGGCACGGUAACCCUAUUAUAUUCAUACCUCAGUAUAAGAGGCGCGGUUGGAUAACUCUUGAGGUUAAAGCUUUAGAGUUCACUUCACGCCAAACCACCACGUGAGGGUGAACUCAGCCAACGCUAAGGAACGACUAUAUUUUCAAAAUAAAUAAAAAACAUGAUUUAUGCGUACAUGACUUUUAACAGCCUUGUUGGACUUGGUUGGGAUAGCCCCAGGCCAAGGUAUCCCUGAUAACUGAGUAUGAGGAUGAUUUUGGCAUGAGCCAAACUUUUCAGGAAAUCAUAAGCCUUGUUGUUUAUUUUGGUGAAAUGAAUCUACUUUAUCUUAUCAAAAUGAGUUCGAAAUGUUGUGGAUCAUUUUUAUGCUAAUCUAUUUUAUCUGUCUCCAUUUGCUCAGCUUUAGAUAUUUUAGAUGGUAUUUGUUUACUCACUAGGAUUAUAUAAUCUCACCACCCUCCUUUCCACCCCUUUCAGGCUCAGGAUAGUCUGUAAAUAGCUCAUUUUGUUGAGGGCUACAGUUGGACUUGCAUCCUCAAAAACUGUAGGUUUACCGCUUUUGAUACUUUUGGUCGUUCGUGGGCCCACGUGUCACUGUAAAUUAAAUCUUAUGCUUUGGUUAUCUGUAUUACAGUAUGUAUGAAUUUAUUUAGCAUUUACGCUAUAAAAAUUAUUUACCG